rnacentral:rRNA from 1 species
AUUGAACGCUGGCGGCAGGCCUAACACAUGCAAGUCGAACGAGUGGCGGACGGGUGAGUCAUGUCUGGUCAACUGCCUGAUGGAGGGGGAUAACUACUGGAAACGGUAGCUAAUACCGCAUACCAUCAGAUUUGCCCAGAUGUGAUUAGCUUGUUGGUGGGGUAACGACUCACCAGGGCGACAAUCCCUAGCUGGUCUGAGAGGAUGACCAGCCACACGGGAACUGGGAAACGGUCCAGACUCUGACGGGAGUCAGCAGUGGGGAAUAUUGCACAAUGGGCGCAAGCCUGAGGCAGCCAUGCCGCGUGUAUGAGGAAGGCCUUCGGGUUGUAAAGUACUUUCAGCGGGGCGGCGUUACCCGCAGAAGAAGCACCGGCUAACUCCGUGCCAGCAGCCGCGGUAAUUC